rnacentral:rRNA from 1 species
AACCAGGGGGCUUAGUUAUACUUUCUACGGUGAAAAGACAGUUAGGUUAUACAGAAGUUUAAUUCAUCGUAUUUAUAGAGGAGUAGAAUCCGGAUAUAAGCGAAUAUACUAAUUAAGACUAAAGUACUGAAGCUGUGAUAACUUUGAGGGAAACUAGGAUUAGAUACCCUAUUAUUCAUAGAUGUAAAUAAGAAAAUUCUACCGGAGCACUAAGAACAAAAAAUUUAAAACUCAAAGGGCUUGGCGGUGUUCUAGACUACUUAGGGGAACCUGUCUCGUAAUCGACAAUCCACGCUAGACCUGACCUCUUUUUGCAAACAGUUUGUAUACCGUCGUCGCCAGGUAACUUUUAAGAUAUAAACAGUUAGCUAAUAAAAUAAUCAUAAAUUGGAACGUCAGAUCAAGGUGCAGCUAAUAAAGAGGCGCAGAUGGGUUACAAUUAUUAUAUUCAUAAUUACGGAUAAUAGUUUUAAAACAAUCAGUAAGGAGGACUUAAAAGUAAAAUGGAUUAUAUAAAUACUUUGAAUAAAGCUCUGGAACGUGC